AUUGAACGCUGGCGGCAGGCCUAACACAUGCAAUUCGAACGGUAACAGGAAACAGCUUGCUGUUUCGCUGACGAGUGGCGGACGGGUGAGUAAUGUCUGGGAAACUGCCUGAUGGAGGGGGAUAACUACUGGAAACGGUAGCUAAUACCGCAUAACGUCGCAAGACCAAAGAGGGGGACCCUCGGGCCUCUUGCCAUCGGAUGUGCCCAGAUGGGAUUAGCUUGUUGGUGGGGUAACGGCUCACCAAGGCGACGAUCCCUAGCUGGUCUGAGAGGAUGACCAGCCACACUGGAACUGAGACACGGUCCAGACUCCUACGGGAGGCAGCAGUGGGGAAUAUUGCACAAUGGGCGCAAGCCUGAUGCAGCCAUGCCGCGUGUAUGAAGAAGGCCUUCGGGUUGUAAAGUACUUUCAGCGGGGAGGAAGGGAGUAAAGUUAAUACCUUUGCUCAUUGACGUUACCCGCAGAAGAAGCACCGGCUAACUCCGUG
rnacentral:rRNA from 1 species